GAUGAACGCUGGCGGCGUGCCUAUUACAUGCAAGUCGAGCGAACGGACGAGAAGCUUGCUUCUCUGAUGUUAGCGGCGGACGGGUGAGUAACACGUGGAUAACCUACCUAUAAGACUGGGAUAACUUCGGGAAACCGUAGCUAAUACCGGAUAAUAUUUUGAACCGCAUGGUUCAAAAGAGAAAGACGGUCUUGCUGUCACUUAUAGAUGGAUCCGCGCUGCAUUAGCUAGUUGGUAAGGUAACGGCUUACCAAGGCAACGAUGCAUAGCCGACCUGAGAGGGUGAUCGGCCACACUGGAACUGAGACACGGUCCAGACUCCUACGGGAGGCAGCAGUAGGGAAUCUUCCGCAAUGGGCGAAAGCCUGACGGAGCAACGCCGCGUGAGUGAUGAAGGUCUUCGGAUCGUAAAACUCUGUUAUUAGGGAAGAACAUAUGUGUAAGUAACUGUGCACAUCUUGACGGUACCUAAUCAGAAAGCCACGGCUAACUACGUG
rnacentral:rRNA from 1 species